GCCUGGGUGGCUCAGUCGGUUAAGCUUCCGACUUCGGCUCAGGUCAUGAUCUCACAGUUUGUGGGUUCGAGCCCCACGUCGGGCU
rnacentral:tRNA from 1 species